GGAUCCAUCACCAGUGAAUCAUCUGUUUUCCGCUUAGUCAAUCCUAGCCAUUUUGAAAUUAUAAGGCUCUAAAAUGGAUUCACUCAGUGUCAAAAUGGAUAAUCUUGUACUAGAUUUAUCAGAUAAUGAUGAAAGUGAAGAAUUUUCUGAUGGUGAAGAUUAUGCACUUCCUACUGAAGAUGAUGCUGUUCAUUCUGAAAAAUCAAAUCUGCGCAAAGAAAAAGAUAGCACUUUUCAACCCAAUGACCAUGCUUACCAAAAAUUUGUUACUAAAAUAUCACUUGACAAAUAUGAAAAUUCUAGAUUACCUGAUAUGGCUGUCAAAUUAUUGAAUGAUGAUGCUAGGAAAAAAGAAUCGAUGAAAAUAAGAUUACGAGAUAAAAAUGAACGUGCCACUGUGGAGCAAGUUCUUGACCCAAGAACUCGAAUGAUUUUAUUUAAAAUGCUGAGCCGAGGGAUAAUUUCAGAAAUUCAUGGCUGCAUUAGCACUGGCAAGGAAGCUAAUGUGUAUUAUGCUUCUGCCAGUGAUAACAGUGAAAGAGCAGUGAAGGUCUAUAAAACUGCUAUAUUGACUUUCAAAGACAGAGAUAGGUAUGUUACUGGAGAUUAUAGAUUUCGAACUGGAUAUUGUCGUCGAAACUCCAGAAAAAUGGUGCAGACCUGGGCUGAAAAGGAGAUGAGAAACCUGUGGAGGAUUUAUUCUGCUGGAUUGCCUUGUCCUGCACCAGUUAUUUUAAAGAGCCACGUCUUGGUUAUGGAAUUUAUUGGUAAAGAUGGAUUGCCAGCACCAUUACUGAAGGAAGUUAAUUUGUCAGAAGGUAAAGCACGAGAAUUAUACUUGGACUGUAUAAUAAUGAUGAGAAAUUUAUUUCAGAAAUGCAAGUUAAUUCAUGCUGAUUUAAGUGAAUACAAUAUGUUAUACUUCAAUGGGAAAAUUAUUAUGAUUGAUGUAUCUCAAUCAGUUGAGUUAGAACAUCCUCGUGCAAUAGAAUUCUUGAGAAAAGAUUGUUUGAAUAUAACAGACUUUUUUAAAAAGCAAAAUGUUCCUGUUAUGACCGUACGUGAGUUAUUUGAUUUUAUCACUGAUUAUAACAUUAACGAUGAAAAUAUCGAUGAUUAUUUAGCCGAAGCUCAAAGAAAAGCCACCAGUAGGGCUUCAGAUUUAUGUGAAGAUGAAAAAGUUGAUGAAGAAGUCUUUAAACAAGCCUAUAUUCCUAAAAAUUUAAGCCAAGUGAUUGAUGUUGAAAAUGAUGUAUUUAAUGAAGAUCGAGAAAUAUUGUAUCAUUCAGUCACUGGUCUAAAGCCGAGCCUUACAGUUUCACGACUGCGAGAAACAAAUGAAAAAAGUCAUGACAAUAGUAGGGGAAGAGAUGAUGAAAAUGAUAAUGAAGAAAACGAUGAUGAUGAUGAUGAUGAUUCUUCCUGUUCAGAGAACUCAGUUAGUAAGAAAGAUAAAUCAAAGCAUUCAACAUUUUCCAGACCACGUGAUGAAUCGCCAAAUUCAAAAAAAGAAAGGAAAAAAGUACUUAAGGAUGCCAGGCGAGAAAAACAACAACACAAAGUGCCUAAACAUAUUAAAAAAAGGAAAGAAAAGGUUGGACGACAAAACAGGAAAUUAAAAUAGUAUUUUACUAUUUUAAUAAUAGUAGAAUGUAAUAAAAUAAAAAUAUUAAGAGAGCAGCUGAAGAGGCCGCAGGUCUGUGCAAAGUACGGAUUGGGAACUGCUGUUGUAAACUAUGUAAAAAUCUGUAAAUAAAAAUUAUAAUACAAAUUUUA